rnacentral:rRNA from 1 species
UACGGAGGGUGCAAGCGUUAUCCGGAUUCACUGGGUUUAAAGGGUGCGUAGGUGGCGGGGUAAGUCAGGUGUGAAAUCUCGGGGCUCAACCCCGAAACUGCACUUGAUACUGCCUUGCUCGAGUACUGGAGAGGAGAUUGGAAUUUACGGUGUAGCAGUGAAAUGCGUAGAUAUCGUAAGGAAGACCAGUGGCGAAGGCGAAUCUCUGGACAGUUACUGACACUGAGGCACGAAGGCCAGGGGAGCAAACGGG